UACGUAGGUGGCGAGCGUUGUCCGGAUUUAUUGGGCGUAAAGCGCGCGCAGGCGGUCGCGUAAGUCUGCUGUGAAAUCUCCCUGGCUCAACCGGGAGGGGGCGGCGGAGACUGCGGGACUGGAGGGACCUAGAGGCCGGUGGAAUUCCCGGUGUAGUGGUGAAAUGCGUAGAUAUCGGGAGGAACACCUGUGGCGAAAGCGGCUCACUGGACCACAACUGACGCUGAGGCGCGAAAGCUAGGGGAGCAAACAGG
rnacentral:rRNA from 1 species